ACAAGCGGCCAUGGUCUUCUGUCUAAUCAUCCCUGUCUGAAUCCCUGUCCUUCCUGGACUCCUUCACCACCUGGUGGGGGAGGAGACACAGCGCAGGCAGUGUGUGGAGCUCUGCUGCCAAGCACCCAGAGACUUACCUCCCCGUCGCGAGUCUCCACGGUCUUUAUCACCACGCUUUUCUUGCUUGGGGUGCUGCGGUUGUCAUCUAUAUCUGGACAGAAGGAAGGAAUUGGUCAGACUGAAGGGAGAGAUGGUGCCAAUGGGACAGAGGUGUACUAGUCACAUAGUGCUGUGCCGAAGAAGAGCUGUACUAGUGAUAGAAAGCUAAGUACCUUUUUGAACUCUACACAUGUUCGACUGAAUGGAGAUGUUGUUUUGUGAUUCCAAGAGAGUUGGUUGAGAUUCCCCGUGGCUACCGAUUGUGUGGGAAAGGCUUCAAGUGUCCUAUGUUUUAAGCAGGGUCACAGUUCACUGUGUGUGUGUUUGUGUGCACACAUGCAUGCUAGUUUUUCUGUGUGUCUGUUAUUGUGUGGCCUUUCCCGCGGGGGCAUAUCUGUGUGUGCAUGCGUGUGUGUGUGCGUGUGUGUGUGUGCGUGCGCGCGAUGGACUCACCAGCAUUACGAUGAGAACUCAUAGAGGAGACAUUGAUGGGAACAGUAAUCCUGGAGGCAGAAACAAUGGUCAUGGGGUCAGUAGGAUGUUACAGACAAGAUCAUACUCAGUACAAGCUACAAUGACAGUUUCUUUAUAAAAUGAGCUCCCUUCCUGUUUUCAAAAAGUCACUGAAUGCACUCGCGUAUCAAUGAAUUUCCUGUCUAAACAACUACUUUAUUUGAUUAAGUAAAUGCUGAUUAACGACGUAAACUGCAGGCUCUGCAUUUAUCCAGGACCAAGAAGCUGCCUGCAUUUAGAAGUGUCUAUUCUUGUUCCCCCAUCACCCUUCUCUCCUUCACCUGCUCUCCUCGCCCUCCAGGAGCUUCCUGUAGGUGGCGAUCUCGAUGUCCAGCGCCAUCUUGACGUUGAGCAGGUCCUGGUACUCCCUCAGGUGGCGGGACAUCUCGUCCUUCAGGUGGCGGAUCUCCUCCUCCAAACGAGCCACCGAGUCCUGGUAGCCGUUCACUUCCACCCCAAACUGGUCCUCCAUGUCCCUCAUCUGCCUCAUCAGGGCCUCGUUCUGCCGGGCCACAAGGGGGCGACAGCCAUGAUAAAAACGGGUUAAGAAAGACUCCUGCAUGUUCUUGGCAGCAAUGCUCUCAUACUGGGCCCUGAUGUCACGCAGAGCGGUGGUCAGGUCAGGUCUGGAGGAGUCCACUUCCAUCUUCAGAUGCUGGGUCUGCACGCUCACCUGCACAUCCUGGAUCUCCUGAUGUGGCGGGAGCAGAGGGCAAAGGGCAAAGGGCGAGGAGGGGUCACAGAAGGAAUCGCUCAUAUGGGGGUCAGGUCACGGGACGGCAGUGCUAACCUCAUCAUGCAGCUUCUUCAGGAACUCAAUCUCAUCCAUCAGGGACUCGAUCUUCCUCUCGAGCUCCAGGCGAGAGAGAGUGGCGUCGUCCACGUCCUGGAGGACAUUUUACUUUCAUCGUGACUGCUGCCGUGCAUAAUGUAAUGUCAUGCCAUAAUGUCAUAAUGUCAUAAUGUAAUGUGUCUGCGCUACUCAGGUUUACUAAACUUUGUGGAAUCACAACCUGCCACAGGGUGUCAGUCAUGUGCAGGGAAGAGACCAAGGGUACGGACAAAGAAAGCAGAAUAACCCACAUAAUCACAAACACUCUGCAAACUCAUUAAAGUGCAUGGGAGAUGUGUAGAUUUCCCUCUUAGCUGCUGAUCUGGAAGGGUGUGGGCUGCUCAUGUUCUGAGGCACAGUCUGUGUAGGAUCUCACACAGGUAUAUAGUUAUUUUGUAAGAGCUGUGUUGUUCUUUUCUCUGUUGCGUUAGUUUACCUUGCGGAAGAGCACCAGGUUGUUCUCAGCUUCAGCUCGCUUCUGGGUCUCUUCCUCCAGGCUGGCCAAGGGGGGUGGGGGCGGAGGUACACAAAACCAUGAGACCAAGUCAAACACACACACACACACACACACACACACACACUAUUGUCUCUAAAUUUCUCUACAUAGCACAUAAUAUAAUGCAUACACUCAUCAUGAAAAUUCAACAUCUUGUUUUGCAUCCAUGAACAGUGGGAUUAAAAUAAUACAUAAAGCCAUGGAAUUAUUUUUUAUCUGUCAAAAAGAACAAGGCUCUACUAGUAACAAACAGCUAGCUUUAGUAGGCUUUACUUGUAACACAAAUAGACUUUUUCUUUGCAAUAUGAUGUUAAAAAAUGUCAUGCUAAAGUGCAAUAUAGAAAUUGUUAAAAUGUUAAGUGCAAGACAGCCAUUUCGAUCAUGCUACCAUCAUGUCAGUAGCAUUCUGUGUACACUUGCCUCAUUUCUAGUCAUUUGUGCUGAUUUGUUUAAUAGGGUAAGGAGUCUGCAAAAUUGCAUAAAAAAUUAAUUUACAGAAUUUUAUGGACAAUUGCCACCAGAUUGUGAUUGUUGAUAGUUGAUAAUACAUCAGAGGAAAAGAUAAAACAAUGUCUGAGGCAAUGUGGUAUGCCAGAUCUUCAUUAAGACAUUCUGUCUCAGCCCUAUGUUCUGUCUGGAGUAAUCUAAACCCCACAUUCUGUCUGGAGUAAUCUAAGACCUGUGUUCUGUCUGGAGUAAUCUAAGCCCUGUGUUCUGUCUGGAGUAAUCUAAGACAUAUGUUCUGUCUGGAGUAAUCUAAACCCUACAAUAUGUCUGGAGUAAUCUAAGCCCCACAUUCUGUCUGGAGUAAUCUUAGCCCUACACUCUGUCUGGAGUAAUAUAAGCCCUAUGUUCUGUCUGGAAUAAUCUAAGCCCUAUGUUCUGUCUGGAGUAAUCUAAGACCCACACUCUGUCUGGAGUAAUCUAAGGCCUACAUUCUGUCUGGAAUAGUUUUAACCCUAUAUUCUGUCUAGAGUAAUCUACUGUAAAUCAUGUCAGAUUGUCUGGCUUUUUGGGUUACACGUCAGUGGAGAAACAGGGUGAGAGUGUGAAAUAUGGAACAUACAAAUGCAAUCAGUUGUGGAGUAAAUUCGAAAACUAUAAUUCAGUUUCUGGAUUGAAGAGCAUUUUGUUGAGUAUUUAAAGAGAUUGCACCCAAAUCACAUGAUUACGUGAUCCCCUUUGAGAUCUUUGGACAGAGGGCUGGAUGGAUUUGCUGCCAGGUUCCACUUGUAUCCACACAAGAGGUAGCAGCUGGCAAAUGGCCAUCAGAUCCAUCUCCCUGUUCAAAAUCAUGUUAAAGGAUCAGGAGAGGCGGAUGAAAGGGGUCACUUACACAAUGACAAAUUUUGUUGAUUGCCCCCUUUAUGACUCCUGCCCUCUCCCCCCCCAAGACAUAGUGCUUCCUCCAGCUGUCCUGAAUCUCUCUAAAAUGUUUCGGUUUUUCCUGUGGGGGGGGGGGGGGGGGUUGAGUGUUGUGCGACAGCCCCACUGUCACAUUUCCUCAAAAUACUGCUUCUAAAUACUGCUUAUAACAAGAAUAUUAAUUAUUUUUAUUGUUGUUGUUAUUAUAAUUAUCAAUAAAAAAUAAUGAACUCA